AUUGAACGCUGGCGGCAGGCUUAACACAUGCAAGUCGAGCGGAGCGAGGGUGCUUGCACCUUAGCUUAGCGGCGGACGGGUGAGUAAUGCUUAGGAAUCUGCCUAUUAGUGGGGGACAACAUUCCGAAAGGGAUGCUAAUACCGCAUACGCCCUACGGGGGAAAGCAGGGGAUCUUCGGACCUUGCGCUAAUAGAUGAGCCUAAGUCGGAUUAGCUAGUUGGUGGGGUAAAGGCCUACCAAGGCGACGAUCUGUAGCGGGUCUGAGAGGAUGAUCCGCCACACUGGGACUGAGACACGGCCCAGACUCCUACGGGAGGCAGCAGUGGGGAAUAUUGGACAAUGGGGGGAACCCUGAUCCAGCCAUGCCGCGUGUGUGAAGAAGGCCUUUUGGUUGUAAAGCACUUUAAGCGAGGAGGAGGCGCUCUAGGAUAAUACCCUAGAUGCGUGGACGUACUCGCA
rnacentral:rRNA from 1 species